GGAAGGAAGGAAGGAAGGAAGGAAGGAAGGAAGGAAGGAAGGAAGGAAGGAAGGAGGGAGGGACGGACUACAAACACGUGGUCCUGUGCUGCGUGUCCUUGUCAUUUGCAGCAGCUUCUGGUGGUACAACUGACCCAACUGACCCAACUGACCCAACUGACCAAACGCUCACGAGCUGGCAUGGAAUUGUUUGGGUGGAAGGCAGCAGCAUUUUUUGCUCUGCAUCCUGUAGUCUGAUCUACGGACAGCCUGAAGCUGCCACCUCUGUCCCUGAAGCCAUUUCUUCUCUCCCGUGGUCAGUGGGUGUUUCCCAUGCGGAGGAACUGGGGGAGCUGCCGGCAGCUUCCAUCACUGCCCACAAAACCACGAGCUGAAGUGAUGGGCGGCUUCAG
rnacentral:lncRNA from 1 species